rnacentral:rRNA from 1 species
UGCCAGCCGCCGCGGUAAUACGGAGGGUGCGAGCGUUAAUCGGAAUUACUGGGCGUAAAGCGCACGUAGGCGGAUUGUUAAGUUAGAGGUGAAAUCCCGGAGCUCAACUCCGGAACUGCCUUUAAUACUGGCAAUCUUGAGUCCGAGAGAGGUGAGUGGAACUCCUAGUGUAGAGGUGGAAUUCGUAGAUAUUAGGAAGAACACCAGUGGCGAAGGCGGCUCACCGGCUCGAUACUGACGCUGAGGUGCGAAAGCGUGGGGAGCAAACAGGAUUAGAUA